rnacentral:rRNA from 1 species
GGCCGCAGUAACUGACUGUGCUAAGGUAGCAAAAUCAUUAGUCUUUUAAUUGAAGGCCAGAAUAAAAGAUUUGACAUAGAGCUUCCUGUCUUAAGGUUAAUAUAUAAAAUUUUAUGUUGAGGUUAAAAAGCUUCAGAUAACUAAAAAGACGAUAAGACCCUAAAAUCUGCUAAAAAUUAAAUUAAUUGUACAGAUUAGCCUAAAGUUUACAUUUAGCAUGCUGGGGCGGCAAUUUUACUAAAACUAUAAUAUUUUAAACACAUUGUGUGAACUAGAAGUAACCUAAUUGAAUAAAAUAAGAUACUUUAGGGAUAACAGCAUAAUAUAUUUUUAUAGUCCUUAUUGACAAAUAUGAUUAUGACCUCGAUGUUGAAUUGAAUUUUCUACGUUUAGAAGAAUAAAUAUAAGUAAGUCUGUUCGACUUUUAAUAAUUCACAUGAUUUGAGUUCAACCGGCG